rnacentral:tRNA from 1 species
GCGGAUAUGGCGUAAUUGGUAGCCGCGUUAGACUUAGGAUCUAAUUCCUACCGGAGUGGGGGUUCGAGUCCCCCUAUCCGCA